CAGCGCCGCGGGAAUACGAAGGGUGCAAGCGUUACUCGGAAUUACUGGGCGUAAAGCGUGCGUAGGUGGUGGUUUAAGUCCGUUGUGAAAGCCCUGGGCUCAACCUGGGAAUUGCAGUGGAUACUGGAUCACUAGAGUGUGGUAGAGGAUAGUGGAAUUUCCGGUGUAGCAGUGAAAUGCGUAGAGAUCGGAAGGAACAUCUGUGGCGAAGGCGACUAUCUGGGCCAACACUGACACUGAGGCACGAAAGCGUGGGGAGCAAACAGGAUUAGAUACCCGUGUAGUCCCUGUCUCUUAUACA
rnacentral:rRNA from 1 species